AUAAAACUGCUUUUUUUUUUUUUAAAAAAAGAAUACGAUUAACAUAAAAUAUAAAAUUAAUAAUAUUGUGCACGGUUGUGCAUGUUCCCGUCAUGUAAUAUGCAAUUUACAUAAUUGUAUUAUAUUAUACUUUCGUUUUGCGAAUGUAAUAAAAGUAAUACCAUUGAUUAUAUUAUACUAUACUAUAGUUAAUACGACAAUAAUAUAAAUCACCUAAAUUAGAUAGUUGAAUAUCAGUUUAGCAGUGGUUAAAGUGAGAAAAAGGAGACUUCGUAUUUAUCAAAAAUUGAGGGGCGUUCACAGGGUUUAAAGUGGUACAAAAUAACAAAGGGUACUGUGAUCUAUAUUUUUUUUUUCUGAACAUUCCAUACAGUGUUAUCCCGAAUGUUCAGGAAAUCAUGGAAACAAGGAAAAUAUUUAUUAAUUUUUAAAACCAAACCAUUUUUCUCGUUUCGCUCGAAAACUGAUAAUAUUUUCUUAACAAAAAAAAUAUGUGAAUAUAAUAGUAACAUUAAUAAUUAAUGUAAUAAAAUUAUUUUAUUUUAUUUGUAUAAUUAUACAUAAUAAUUUUUUUAAUGUGUUUACAAGAAAAUUAAUAAAGACAUGUCAGAAAAAUAAAUAAUAAUAACUUUAACAUUUUCUUGACAACUUAAUUGUAUAUAAAUAUAUAAUAUUUUUUAACGCUCACAUAUACAUUAACGAAAAAAGCUGAUACUGCUGAUGGGCAUGACACUGUUGUAGGUGGGAAGUUGGGAUGAUGGAGGAAAAAUUUAAUGUACAGCUGUACGUAACAAUUAAUCGUUGCUAACGAAAAACAAUUCUGAGCGGAGUUGGGUCAUAUGCAUGUUUUAAAAGGUUGUAUAGCAUUUACGAUUUGAAAAUAAUAGGUUUAUUUUUAGUUCAGUUUCCCGUUUUUUCUACGUUUUUUCCCGGUUAUUCCAAAUUAUUAUGAAAACUGCUUGGAAAAUCAAAAAAUGAAAUCUCUAAAGUACCAACCCAGUCAAAUUUUCUUUCAGUAAGUAGCUACCCUUGAAAAUCAGAACAAAAUUUCUGGUAGAAAAGUCGUUCAAAUAAAAAAACAAUAUUGUAUAACCAAUACAAUUCUAGUUCCGUUAAAAAUCUAAAAAAACCAAUAUAAUUACGUUUCUUUUUAACCUCUAAAAGUACAACUUACAAUGCAGUUCUUGUUAAAAUUUCAAGCAUUUUAGUUCGAUCAAACAAUUAUAUUCACAUAUAGUAUCUAUUAUCUAUCAAAUAAAAACUACGUGAAAAAUUCGAAAAAUUAAAAUACCCAUAAAUAGUUCAAUACACGUCAAAAUGUUUGAAAAUUUUUGACGCCUAGAUAAGAUAAUUGUAAGUUUUCUGUCAACAUUUCAAGUAUUUACGAAUAUUUUUACUGAAUUAUACAACAAAAGCUAUAACCAAAAUGUAACGAAAAAUUUCACUUGUCAUUUUUCGAUUGGAAUAAAUUGUCUAUUCGAAAAGUUCUUUACAAACAGAACAAAAACACAUCACAGAAUAACCUGCAAUAGAUUCGUCGUUCCACUCCUAAUCUAAAAUAAAACUGAAUAACAAAAUAUCUCUAAUCUCUAUAGGAAUCAUAUACGUCAUAUAUGUUUCUUGGGAUUAUGAUGUACCCACAUCAUGUUCGUUAGGAAUUUAAUUACACAUGGGCGUUAAGAUAAUAUCUAAGUGCGUUAUGUAAAUUCACAAAAUAACUUAUAUGUUAUAUAUCUGUGGUCUACACUGUACAGUGUUCAUCGUAGAAUAUAUAAAUAUUUAUUUGUUUCAUACAAACUAUACAUUAUUGCAAUAAUGUAGUAUAAUAAACAUAAGUGAAUAACAGUGAUAGUUCAAAAGUCCACCCAUCGACGACACUCCGACAAACCAUUGAAUACGGAUAAAAAUUUCAAUCACGAAAAUAAUAUUUUUUAUAAAAGAUCAAACUGGAAAAUAUUAUAUUUAAAAAAUAAUUGUUGAUAAAUCUAAAAUCAUUAUAUUUAAAAAAAAAAAUUAUUUUGAACGGUGGAUACCUUUACCUACGCAGCGUACCCAACUAGUGUACCUACCUUCGAAGAAUUUGUUAAAGAAGACUCUUUUUAAGCGCAGCCAGAGGUAGGGGGACUGAGGGCUGUUGCGUCCCCUUCCCAAUUUAAUCACUGGGCGUUCCCGAGUAUCAACUAAAUCUAACCAAGCUCUCUGAUAAUACAUCAAAACUUCCAAAAUAUUUUUCCCACACAGAUUAAAAAAAAAUAUGUUGCACUAAUACGGGUUUAUACGUAUAAAUUAUUCUACGUUUUAACAAAUUGUUUUAUGUUCCGGUUAUUUUACCAAUAAAUAAUUUAUAUAGCUCAGCAUCAUAUUUUCCUCGAGUUCUAAUGCUACUAAAUAAAUUAGCACCUUGUGUUGAUUUAUUUUCAGAUAUGUCUCGUGAAGUUUUUAUGUUUAAUGUACUUAUAUAACGCGUUAACUAAUUGUUCACUGUAAUUUCAUUUUUGUUCUAUUUAUUUAUGUUUAUUCCAUUAUUAUUAUUAUUUCAUUAAUUGUAUUUUAAAUUACUUUUGCCAUUUAUGAUGUUAUUUUUCUUUUGUUAAAGGGUUUUUUCAUCCGUUUAUAAUUUAUGAAAUUAAAUUUAAAAAUAAUAAAAGGUCUUGAGUGAAAUAUUAUUUAAAAAGUAUCAAUAAAAUAGUAUAAAACCUAUCUACCAAGGGCGUCCGCAGGGGGGUGCCGGUGGGGGCCAUAUCCUCCUCGCUAUUUGAGUUAAUAUUAAAUAUUAACUGUUUUAUUACUUGUACGGCUUAAAUAUUUAAUAAGCCGUGAUUACUUGUAAGUUGCAAAAAAAAAGUCUUAUACUUUUAAUUUUGCCAACCCCCCCCCCCAGUUUAUAUUUCUGUGGGCGUCCUUGCUACCUACGUUUAAAAUAACUAAAAAAGAGCUGAUAUUGUCGACGGGUUUAUCGCUGUUGUAAGUGGAAAGUUGAAAAUGUAGACAAUGGCACAAUUAGGGCGAGGGGGGUUAAAAUGAACGGUUAAUGAAAGGAACAAUUUGUGAAGGAAAAAAAAUAUUAGAACAAGAGCCAAUAACGCAUGGGUAAAAGUCAUGCAAAUAAUAUGGAAAUCGAUUAUCGAUAGUAAGACAUAAAAGUCUAUAAUCGUGGUAUAAUUCCGGCACCUACCUAUCGUGUUUGCUAUGCGCAAACUCAAUACUUUGCGGAAUUUCAGUAAAAUUAAUAUUGUGCGCGGUACAAUAUUUCACACGAUAAGACCUAUAAUGCGUAACAAAAAACAUAUUAUUUCAACGUUACGUUAUACCUUUAACUGAUUACAAUAAAUUGAGAAAUAAAAUUGAAGGAAAAAAAAAUAAUAAAAUAGAAAAACGAAAAUACAUCUUAUACUAGCAUCGUACCGAUCGUAACAAAAUAAAAUAAAUUACAAACAAAAUACGGUAGGAAGAUAUUAUUCACCAUUUUCGGAACAGUUCUACUAUGUAUCGGUAAUAUAAUAUCUGUCCAAAAGUAAUCUACAAAAACGAUAAGACGCGGAUAAAGUUAAUAGUUGGGGAAUAGUAUCCAUUGCAUGUACUAAAUUUUAUUUUUAUUUUUUCUGUAAAUUGCUGGUAUAGUGGUCUAAUGAUACGGUUUCCUAUUCGCGACAAAUGGUUCGUCGUUGCGUCCGGCGACAGUACCGGUCCGAGGGCAGUAUAUCGCGACAAUACAAAAUUAUAUCGGGUGCGACACAAUUUUCAUCGACAGAGGAAGUAUUCCUCCUUAUUGAACGAAUUAGAAAAAAUAUACCUAUUUGUGCUCUUGCUCAUUACAAAAUGUAAAGACAACAUUCAUCAGGCUUCUAUUUUGCAAUCCAGAAAUAAGCUUUGUAUUUUUGUCUUUUUUUAUCAUUUGAAAUUAAUAAUUCAUCUUCGUCCUCCUGUUCCUCAAGUAAAAGUAAAAUAACUGUAUUUGUAACACUCAUGUUUAAAUUUCAACUUAAAAGCUUAAACACAAAAAUACAAACACCGUCACGGUACAAACAGAUCACAGAUACUGCAGUGUGCAGAAUACGGCUACAGUUUAUCA
rnacentral:lncRNA from 1 species